AGAGUUUGAUCAUGGCUCAGGACGAACGCUGGCGGCGUGCCUAAUACAUGCAAGUAGAACGCUGACUACUUUAGCUUGCUAGAGUAGAAGGAGUUGCGAACGGGUGAGUAACGCGUAGGUAACCUGCCUACUAGCGGGGGAUAACUAUUGGAAACGAUAGCUAAUACCGCAUAACAGUGUUUAACACAUGUUAGAUGCUUGAAAGAUGCAAAUGCAUCACUAGUAGAUGGACCUGCGUUGUAUUAGCUAGUUGGUGGGGUAACGGCCUACCAAGGCGACGAUACAUAGCCGACCUGAGAGGGUGAUCGGCCACACUGGGACUGAGACACGGCCCAGACUCCUACGGGAGGCAGCAGUAGGGAAUCUUCGGCAAUGGGGGCAACCCUGACCGAGCAACGCCGCGUGAGUGAAGAAGGUUUUCGGAUCGUAAAGCUCUGUUGUAAGAGAAGAACGUGUGUGAGAGUGGAAAGUUCACACAGUGACGGUAACUUACCAGAAAGGGACGGCUAACUACGUGCCAGCAGCCGCGGUAAUACGUAGGUCCCGAGCGUUGUCCGGAUUUAUUGGGCGUAAAGCGAGCGCAGGCGGUUUAAUAAGUCUGAAGUUAAAGGCAGUGGCUUAACCAUUGUUCGCUUUGGAGACUGUUAAACUUGAGUGCAGAAGGGGAGAGUGGAAUUCCAUGUGUAGCGGUGAAAUGCGUAGAUAUAUGGAGGAACACCGGUGGCGAAAGCGGCUCUCUGGUCUGUAACUGACGCUGAGGCUCGAAAGCGUGGGGAGCAAACAGGAUUAGAUACCCUGGU
rnacentral:rRNA from 1 species